CACAUCUACUUUUACAGGGGCAUCCUCAUUUGAAGAAGCUGAGUAUUGGUUAGUAGAGACAGAGAAGACCUUUGCAAUAGUUGGGGUGGUUCCCGGAUAUAAGCUUAUACUUGCCACCUAUAUGCUUGUGGGUGAGGUAAGUCGGUGGUGGCAGCUGAAGCAUGCCACCCUGCUUGUUCCAAUCACUUGGAAAUAGUUUCUA
rnacentral:lncRNA from 1 species